rnacentral:misc_RNA from 1 species
AAAAAUUAAUGUGUUGUUCGUCUCAAAAAACCAAUACAAAACAUACAUCACGGCCUGACGCAUACAUUAAUUAAUUUAACAUAAUAGUUGGAGUAGUUUGGCGUGCACGAAUGGAGCAGCCUCAUUUGGAGAUAAGAGCCUCUUGGCUCUUCCUGAACAACUUGUGCUCAAUAUGCUGAGCAAAUGUGCGAGGAGGGAAUUGUGCUGGUUCUGCCUCAGUGACAACCUCAGGCAAUGGCUUAAGGAUGAUUUUCU